rnacentral:lncRNA from 1 species
CAUCUAUCAAGAUUCAUGAUAUGCUAGCUGAAUAUACUUUGGCAAGUAGGAGUAAAAUCAUUAUAAUUAUAAUCAUGAACACAAAUAGCAACUUCAAUUUUCAAGACAUACAGCAUAAAGCCUACAUUAAAGAAAUAAAUGGUUAGGCUUAAAGCAAAAGGCCAGUAUGACGUUUAACUAUUUGGGUACCUCAAACUCGACUGGCAUCAAUUCGUCUAAUUCCUGCUUAAAUUGCAAGUAUUCUGUAGCUUAAUUAACCCCAAAAACAGAUCAAACAAACAACCUUUCCUACGACCAAGUAAACUCUUGAUAAUCUUCUGCUCAUAAAAAAAAAUUAUAAUUCCCAGGUAAAGUCUCUUCCAGACCCUUCUCUCUCUCUCUUGUUUGUGAAUCCUUCCACCGUGAUUUCUUAAACGAGACUACAACUGAACAGACAUGCUAAUACAGUAAUGGAAUAGUAAUGACAAAAAAAAAAGUAGUUGGCAAAUUAAGACUAAAAACAAGAAUGACAGUAAUCCAUCCAAAUCCAGUCCAGUUUUGAUAAGUUCAGACUCGAUUAGAAAAUAAAUUUAAAAGUUAGAUAAGUUUCAUUGAUAAGUUCGAUCUCAAUUCAUAAAAUAAAUAUUAAAUACCUAUCUCUAUUCAUAAUAAUCUGGUUUAACACGUUAACGAGUCAACUCAACCUCCAUCAAAAAACUCAAACUUAAUAUAAUUCAAAUUUAUUUAAAUUAUAAAUAAAUUUAAAUUAAAAAUAAAAUUUAAAUUAUAGUGUUAUUAAAAUACUUUUAAAUUAAAUUUUUUUAUUUAAUUGAAAUUUCUCUAAAUCCAAAACUAAUGAAAAAAAAUAUAAAAAAGUUGUCCUUUUAUAGAAAAGUCACAAUCUUUUGUAUCCUUUCCACUUUUGAAACUUUCGAUGUGGAAUUGGUGUUGGUGAAUAAGCUCACGAGCUCGUUGGCAAGCUUGCUCACAAGCUCGUUGGCGAGCAUGCUCACGAAUCUAAACGAGCUGAAUAUUGCUAAGCUCAAACUCAGCUUGUUUAUUAAAAAUCUUAAAAAGUGAACGAUCCCGAUCAAGUUCUUAUUGAGUCGAGUUUCCGAUAAAAUGGAAAGGAAAAAGGAUAUUAGAUUUGGAUAUUGAACAGACAGGAAAUAUAAAAGAAAUUAGUCUGUAUAAUUCUGACCAUACAGGCUAUACCGGGAUAUAUAGUGAUGUAAAUAGUUAGGAUAGCCGUGAAAAUUAAUCUAUUCGGAAUCGAAUUCGAUUAAAAAUUAAACUAUUCGAACCCGUACCAAAUCCCAACCCCUUUAGUUUUAUAUAUUUUAAUUAAUAAUUUAUAUAAAAAAACAUUUUUUACUAAUAAUUUUCAUUUAAAAAAUUCAAUAAUUCUAAAAAAUAUUUAAAUUUUAAAUUUUAAAUAAAAAUAUAUAAAUAUUAUUAUAAAAUAUUUUUUAUAUUAAAUUAAUUAUUUAUAUAGACGAAUUACAUAAAAUUUUAAUUCGAUCUUAACUCACAAUGGAUAUUAUUUUUUAAAUUCGAACUCAUUUCAAAUCCGAUUAUGAUUGCUCAAAUUUAUCUUAUUAGGAUUCGAUUGGAUAGAGUACCUAAAAUUAAUCUAUCCGUUACCAUCCCUGGGUAGAGCUCUGAUUUGAACAGCAUCCUAGGUUCUUUAAUUAACAGCAAAUCUAAAUCUAAAUAGAAAAAAGAAUUCACAUAAAAGCAAAGCAUAAGCUUGAAUAUCAAGAUCACCAGGUAUGUUAUGUAAUAGCACAUAGCACAAACCUACAGACUCGAGAUUUAUUCCAAAGUACAUAGAUUUUAGCAAGCAAAACCCUAAUAAAAAUAAUUUCUGUCAGUGAAUAAAAAAAAACACAUACCCAUUAGUUUAGUGAACGUGUAAUAUCAUGAUUGUUUAGGGCAUGUAAGUGCGUUUUUGUACUUCUUGGUUUGCUCCCACGUAGAUUUUGGGAAGAUAUAUAUGUAUAUAAAAUACGACAAAAUCCACAUUCUCGUACUAUAAACUCGUGAUUAGGGUUUGCUAAUCUGCGACUUGCGACUGUUGGGUCAGGCUUGGUUCUCAAAUCCCUUCUGCCUCGCAGAGUUGCUAAUUAAUCUCCUUAUUAUUGGAAGGCGUAAUCUCAGUCAAAGUAUGUCUAUUUGUUGACGGAAGCUAAUUGCUAGAGGAUGUGGAUUUACCAAUAUGGAUUAUCGGGCAAUUGGACUACUGACUACCAGUUCCUGAGCUGAACCAGUCAGGUCAAUUUAAACCCAUCUCUGCAAAAGCCAGAAUUUUUUGAAUUCUUCUGUUCCUUCCCAUGAUAGGCAAAACCAAGUUAAUUCUUAAUCUCUCUUAAAAUAUAUUUGUGUCUUUACUGACAAAAUUCUUAGUUUGAGAAGAUGAAUAUCUAAGGUACGUGAAGAUGGAAGGGAGAAAGUACCAGAGUUGAAGAUUCGCAAGGGACCAUUGCAGAUCAUAUUUAGCUGAGUUUCGAUUCUUCGCAUGAAAUCCAUGGCUUCUUGAAUGGGUCUUGUAAGCUCUUCGCGGUACUUCACCAGCAUGUCGCAGUAAGCCUCCUGUUUAUCGAUCCAAAGAACUAAUGAAUCCCAAAAACCAAAUGCACUAAGAUCUUAUGUCGACUAUAAAAAAAAAGAGGGGGAAUAAAACACUUCGAUUAGGUAAUAAUAUAGGUUAAUCAAGUGCUUCACGAUUUACCAUAAACUGAUCUAGUUCUGGG